rnacentral:miRNA from 1 species
AGGGCAGUAUGAUGGCCUCUGAU